AACGAGACCUUAACCUGCUAAAUAGUCAGGCCGGCUUUUGCUGGUCGCAGACUUCUUAGAGGGACUGUCAGCGUCUAGCUGACGGAAGUUUGAGGCAAUAACAGGUCUGUGAUGCCCUUAGAUGUUCUGGGCCGCACGCUCGCUACACUGACAGAGCCUGCGAGUUCUCACCUUGGCCGGAAGGUCUGGGUAAUCUUGUGAAACU
rnacentral:rRNA from 1 species